AGUGCGCCGCUCCGCCCCGCCCCCACCCCAUGGAGGGGCGCGGCCAGGUGCGGUGGAAAUCUCCCAAGGUGUGCGGCUGUCUAAGAGGCGGGACUGGCGUUCGGGUCUUUGAGCUCCGGCUGUGGCGGGGGCCAGGUCCCUGCACCCUCCGUAUGGGACGUCGUGAGAGCGAACCCGGCAGGGCUGCGAGGCGACGCCGACGCUCCUGGCUAACGCGACCUGCUGCAGCCUGGUUCCUCGUCCAGCCCUUCUGGCGGCCCCGGAGUGUCGGAGUCCCGAGAGUGAACUGGUAUCACGUACUGAGCGAGGAGGACACCACCGAGAGCCACGUGUGCGGUAGUCUGUCGCAGUCUGGAAAUGCGGCAGCGCCUGGUGAGCAGCCCUUCUCCCGGGGACCCAAAGGUGACCCGCCUGAAGGGACACGGGUUUCUAAACCUACCUUGAUCGCUACUCGUCAUGUAGUUCAAGCUGGACCUGACAUCUCUCUCUAGCCCUGGCGGGCCCCGAACUCGUGGGCAUCCUCCUGUUUCAGCGUCCUGGGUACUGGGAUUACAGAGAGAAACAUUAUAUUUGCUGGGAACUGAAAUUUGGGUCUCUCCUCUCCUGGAUGUCCGGUUUUCCUGUGAAGAUUGGUGCUGAUGUUUAUUUCCCCUUGAAAGCAGAAUUUCUUCCAGUACUGUGGUCCCUGUAAGAGUGCCAGACCAGCCACCAGCCUGCAGACCCACAGGGGCAACAGCUUCUCAAACCUCCAAGACUUACAGCUCAAUAUUUUGCACAUUUUAAAAAAAUUUUAGUGCCAGGGAGAUGGUUCAGUGGCAUAAGUGCCUGCCUGUCAAGCCCAAG